GUGCCAGCCGCCGCGGUAAAACGUAGGAUCCGAGCGUUAUCCGAAUUCACUGGGCGUAAAGCGCGUGCAGGCGGCUCGGUAAGUUGGCUGUGAAAUCUCCUGGCUCAACUGGGAGAGGACGGUCAAGACUGUCGGGCUGGAGGACGGUAGAGGGAGGUGGAAUUCCCGGUGUAGUGGUGAAAUGCGUAGAUAUCGGGAGGAACACCAGUGGCGAAGGCGGCCUCCUGGGCCGAUCCUGACGCUCAGACGCGAAAGCUAGGGGAGCAAACGGGAUUAGAAACCCCUGUAGUCC
rnacentral:rRNA from 1 species